rnacentral:lncRNA from 1 species
CACACCACAUCAGGGGCCGGGAAUCCCACUCAGGGUUUAGCCCUAGGCUCCCCCCAGCACCCCCCUCCCAAUCCAGAGGACACUCCCAGCCCUGAGCAGCGAGCUCUGGGCAGGCAUCGGGAGAGGGAGCGCAUCUCGGCUCUUUGUGAGGAAUUACGUCCCGACAGGUCACUGACACAGAAAAGCCCUUUGUCCCAGCCAGCUGGCCGCCUGCUAAUGACAUCCAGCCUGCACCUUCCAAGGCCACCUCUGCAUCCAGAAAGGACAGUGGCGGCUCCAGCCGGGGAGGAACAAGGGCCACAGCUUCCCUGGGGUCAGGGGUGGGGAGGGUGGGUGAAGGCUCCGGACGCUUCUGCACGUUGCCCCAGAGCUGCGGACGGACCUCAGGUGACCGUCAAGACCUGCUGCGGAUCCAGUGACCCCUCCAAGGAGAGUGCCGAGUCCUGGGAAUUCUCUUCCUCCUCCUGCACCUCCAGGUGUCUCCCAGCUGCUGAGAAUGAGCCAAGGGACCAAGAUGGCCGCCUGGCUCCUGCAAGUGGAGAGGGUCUUGCUGGGGCCUGAACUGGCUGAGGUCUUGCAGCAGGU